rnacentral:rRNA from 1 species
UACGUAGGUGGCAAGCGAUACUCGGAAUCACUAGGCGUAAAGCGCAGGUAGGUGGUUGGAUAAGUCUCUUGUGAAAGCUCCCGGCUUAACUGGGAGAGGUCAAGGGAAACUAUCCGGCUAGAGUGUGGUAGAGGAAGAUGGAAUUCCCGGUGUAGCGGUGAAAUGCGUAGAUAUCGGGAGGAAUACCUAUGGCGAAAGCAGUCUUCUGGACCAUCACUGACUCUGAUCUGCGAAAGCUAGGGGAGCAAACAGG